AUUGAACGCUGGCGGCAGGCCUAACACAUGCAAGUCGAACGAGUGGCGGACGGGUGCGUAAUGUCUGGCUACCUGCCUGAUGGAGGGGGAUAGCUACUGGAACCGGUACCUAAUACCCCAUACCAUCGGCUGUCCUCAGAUGGGAUUAGCUAGUGGGUGGGGUAACGGCUCACCUAGGCGACGAUCCCUCGCUGGUCUGAGAGGAGGACCAGCCACACUGGAACUGAGACACGGUCCAGACGCCUACGGGAGGCAGCAGUGGGGAAUAUUGGGCAAUGGGCGAAAGCCUGAUGGAGCAAUGCCGCGUGUGUGAAGAAGGCCUUCGGGUUGUAAAGUACUGUCAGCGGGGAGGCGUUACCCGCAGAAGAAGCAACGGCUAACUCCGUGCCAGCCGCCGCGGUAAUAC
rnacentral:rRNA from 1 species